rnacentral:rRNA from 1 species
GAUGAACGCUGGCGGCGUGCCUAAUACAUGCAAGUCGAGCGAACGGACGAGAAGCUUGCUUCUCUGAUGUUAGCGGCGGACGGGUGAGUAACACGUGGAUAACCUACCUAUAAGACUGGGAUAACUUCGGGAAACCGGAGCUAAUACCGGAUAAUAUUUUGAACCGCAUGGUUCAAAAGUGAAAGACGGUCCUGCUGUCACUUAUAGAUGGAUCCGCGCUGCAUUAGCUGGUUGGUAAGGUAACGGCUUACCAAGGCAACGAUGCAUAGCCGACCUGAGAGGGUGAUCGGCCACACUGGAACUGAGACACGGUCCAGACUCCUACGGGAGGCAGCAGUAGGGAAUCUUCCGCAAUGGGCGAAAGCCUGACGGAGCAACGCCGCGUGAGUGAUGAAGGUCUUCGGAUCGUAAAACUCUGUUAUUAGGGAAGAACAUAUGUGUAAGUAACUGUGCACAUCUUGACGGUACCUAAUCAGAAAGCCACGGCUAACUACGUG